rnacentral:rRNA from 1 species
CCUACGGGUGGCUGCAGUGGGGAAUAUUGGACAAUGGGGGGAACCCUGAUCCAGCCAUGCCGCGUGUGUGAAGAAGGCCCUCGGGUUGUAAAGCACUUUCAGUGAGGAAGAACGCCUGGUGGUUAAUACCCAUCAGGAAAGACAUCACUCACAGAAGAAGCACCGGCUAACUCCGUGCCAGCAGCCGCGGUAAUACGGAGGGUGCGAGCGUUAAUCGGAAUUACUGGGCGUAAAGCGCGCGUAGGUGGCUUGAUAAGCCGGUUGUGAAAGCCCCGGGCUCAACCUGGGAACGGCAUCCGGAACUGUCAAGCUAGAGUGCAGGAGAGGAAGGUAGAAUUCCCGGUGUAGCGGUGAAAUGCGUAGAGAUCGGGAGGAAUACCAGUGGCGAAGGCGGCCUUCUGGACUGACACUGACACUGAGGUGCGAAAGCGUGGGUAGCAAACGGGAUUAGAUACCCGUGUAGUC